rnacentral:lncRNA from 1 species
AAAAGCAAAGGAAACAAGAAACAUCUUCCGGAAUGUUUGUUCUUGAUUAUCUGUUUACAAUUCAAAAAGAUAACUAAAUCCUGAAUAGUGCAAUAUAGUCUGUGGUCACUUCUUUAAAUUAAGCUUUUGGUUCACAGUAGUCCCCCUCAUCCAUGAGGGUUUCAAGAAGCACCCCCUACCCCCACCACGUGGACGCCAGAAACUGUGGAUGGUGCUGAACCCCAUAUAUGCUAUGCUUUUUCCCGCCCAUAUGUGCCACACAGCUUGGACAUGCUGGACAAAGGAACGACUCACGUCCCGGGCUGGACAGAGCAGGACGACCAGACUUCAUCAUGCUACUACUCAGAAGAGUAUGUAAUCUGAAACUUACAAAUUGUUUAUUUCUGGAGUUUCUCAUCUAAUAUUUUCAGAUCACAGUUGACUAUGGGUAAUUAAAGCCUGGGAAAGUGGAAGCAUGGGUAAGGGGGGGCUGCUGUGUAACACAGAACAUUUUCCAGCACUUCACAAAGGAGCAAUAGGUCC